UUAUUUUCCGCUCUGUUCCUCAGCCGCAACGGCCGCCGCCCGCCGGUCGUCGUCGGCCACGUCGCGCGGUCUCCGGCAUCCCCAGCCCGCAGCCUCACAACCUGAUCGAUGCUCCCCUACCACCCAGUCAACCACACACACGCACACAUACACUUCUCAAAAAAAUCCCUCCCGCUCCCACCGCCGUCUCCUCCUCCCAAUCACAUUCCGUUUCCAUUCGCGCGGCCCGCGCCGCCGUCAUGGCCGCCGCCUCCCUCCUCGAGGCCACUCGCUUCCUCUCCACCCCGCACCCACGCUCGCGCUCGCGCCCGCUCCCUUUCCCGCCCGGCAGCGGCCUACACCCCCACCUCCUCAGGACCCCUCGCCUCUCCACUCUCCGCGUCCACCUCCACCGUCCCGCUCCUCUCGGCGCGCAGGAGCCGGCGAGGCCUGGCGCGCUCCUGGCCGUAGACGCGCUCAGGAGGUCCGUGCUCGACUCCCUCGCGGCGCUCAAGCGGCCCGCGCUCGCGCUCCUCCUGGCCGGUGUGCUGCUCGCCGCGGCAUCGGCGGGCGGGCCGCACGCGGCGGCGCUGGCCGCCUCGGGCGGGCGCGUCGGCGGGUCGGCCUUCUCCUCGCGCUCCUCCUCGCCUCGAUCCUACGGGUACAGCGCGCCGGCUCCCAGGGGCGGGUACACGGCCGCUCCCUUCUACUCUCCUUCGCCCUUCGUAUCCGUCGGCCCAGCCCUCGGCAUCGGCUUCGGGGGAUCGGGGUUCCUCGUGACCCUCAUGGGUUUCGCGGCUUUCCUCUACCUGGCCGGGUUCCUGUCCGACUCGUCCGGCGCUACCAGUGUGCUCACAGAGACGGAGAAGACCACCGUCCUCAAGCUACAGGUUGGCUUGCUGGGCAUGGCACGAUCAUUUCAGAAGGAGCUUGAUCAAAUAGCUGAGAAAGCAGAUACAUCUACCCCAGCUGGGUUGAGCUAUGUGUUGACAGAGACAACAUUGGCAUUACUUCGGCAUCCGGACUGUUGUAUCUCAGCUUACUCAUCGGUGGAUGUGAAACGAAGCAUUGAUAAUGGUGAGAAACGUUUCAAUCAGCUUUCAAUUGAGGAGAGGGGCAAGUUUGAUGAAGAGACACUUGUGAAUGUGAACAGCAUCAAGAGGAAUAAAGGAGGCAGCCAAAGAUCAAGUGGUUUUAGCAACGAGUACAUUGUGGUAUGUAGCAGAUGGCACCAGGCUUGUAAAAUUGUAACUUAUGUGCAUGCAAAUGCAAUGAAUAUAUUUUUGCUGAUAGAGUCUAGAUGCCGAUUGUGAUUCAAGAAUUAAUAGUCUUUAAAAACGCUGCUUUACAAACUCGUAUUCCAGAAGAGGGGGCAGGGGGUAUGAUUUCCGUCGUGUAUACUGUGUAGAUAACCAUAUUGGUUGCUGCUGAGGGAGUACAUAAGGUGCCGGUUAUAAAUAGCAGCAAUGACUUAAAGACAGCUCUACAAAAGAUGGGUGCCAUACCAUCGCGCAAAAUACUGGCAGUCGAGGUCCUAUGGACUCCACAAAAUGAGAAUGACACUUUGUCAGAGCGAGAGCUCCUUGAAGAUUACCCGCUCUUAAGGCCUCUGUAGAAAGAAGCUGCUGUAGAUUCAGUUUUGGCGGUUUUCUUAUUAACUAUAGCGCAGAUCUUGUGUUUGUAUAAAAGUGUAUAAUUUGUUAUUGACGUCACUGUUAGCCUUCAUAUCAGAACAUUUAGCGCAUCGCAGUACAAGUCUGCGAUUGUCUGCCGGUAGUCUUGGUCGCUGUUCCUGACACAAUAACACAAAAUUGUAAAUAGAUUGUUCUGAAAAGAACACGAGAGGCUGCAUCUGUGCGUGUA